UCCCUCACUACCGUGACAGGAAUUAGGACUCAUUCCUGUGGACAGAAGAGAGUUCAGUGGGUCAGUACAGGUAGAGUUCCCUCACUACCGUGACAGGAAUUAGGACUCAUUCCUGUGGAGAGAAGAGAGUUCAGUGGGUCAGUACAGGUAGAGUUCCCUCACUACCGUGGCAGGAAUUAGGACUCAUUCCUGUGGAGAGAAGAGAGUUCAGUGGGUCAGUACAGGUAGAGUUCCCUCACUACCGUGGCAGGAAUUAGGACUCAUUCCUGUGGAGAGAAGAGAGUUCAGUGGGUCAGUACAGGUAGAGUUCCCUCACUACCGUGGCAGGAAUUAGGACUCAUUCCUGUGGAGAGAAGAGAGUUCAGUGGGUCAGUACAGGUAGAGUUCCCUCACUACCGUGGCAGGAAUUAGGACUCAUUCCUGUGGAGAGAAGAGAGUUCAGUGGGUCAGUACAGGUAGAGUUCCCUCACUACCGUGGCAGGAAUUAGGACUCAUUCCUGUGGAGAGAAGAGAGUUCAGUGGGUCAGUACAGGUAGAGUUCCCUCACUACCGUGGCAGGAAUUAGGACUCAUUCCUGUGGAGAGAAGAGAGUUCAGUGGGUCAGUACAGGUAGAGUUCCCUCACUACCGUGGCAGGAAUUAGGACUCAUUCCUGUGGAGAGAAGAGAGUUCAGUGGGUCAGUACAGGUAGAGUUCCCUCACUACCGUGGCAGGAAUUAGGACUCAUUCCUGUGGAGAGAAGAGAGUUCAGUGGGUCAGUACAGGUAGAGUUCCCUCACUACCGUGGCAGGAAUUAGGACUCAUUCCUGUGGAGAGAAGAGAGUUCAGUGGGUCAGUACAGGUAGAGUUCCCUCACUACCGUGGCAGGAAUUAGGACUCAUUCCUGUGGAGAGAAGAGAGUUCAGUGGGUCAGUACAGGUAGAGUUCCCUCACUACCGUGGCAGGAAUUAGGACUCAUUCCUGUGGAGAGAAGAGAGUUCAGUGGGUCAGUACAGGUAGAGUUCCCUCACUACCGUGGCAGGAAUUAGGACUCAUUCCUGUGGAGAGAAGAGAGUUCAGUGGGUCAGUACAGGUAGAGUUCCCUCACUACCGUGGCAGGAAUUAGGACUCAUUCCUGUGGAGAGAAGAGAGUUCAGUGGGUCAGUACAGGUAGAGUUCCCUCACUAC